UACAGUCAUAUCAUGUUGAAACACCACUUUCCAUAUAUUCACUGAAGUUAAGCAAUGUCAAGCCUGGUUAGUACCUAGAUGGGUGAGCACUUGUGAAUACUAGGUGUUGCGAG